AUUGAACGCUGGCGGCAGGCUUAACACAUGCAAGUCGAACGAGUGGCGGACGGGUGAGUAAUGCUUGGGAAUCUAGCUUAUGGGGGGGGAUAACUACGGGAAACUGUAGCUAAUACCGAGUACCAUAGGAUGAGCCCAAGUGGGAUUAGGUAGUUGGUGAGGUAAAGGCUCACCAAGCGGACGAGCUCUAGCUGGUCUGAGAGGAUGACCAGCCAAACGGGUACGGAGACACGGCCCAGAAGACUACGGGAGGCAGCAGUGGGGACUAUGUCGCAAGGGGGGCAACCGGACGCAGCCAGGCCGCGUGAAUGAAGAAGGCGUUCGGGUUGUAAAGUUCUUUCGGUAGCGAGGGGUUAAAUACAGAAGAAGCACCGGCUAACUCCGUGCCAGCAGCCGCGGUAAUAC
rnacentral:rRNA from 1 species